rnacentral:rRNA from 1 species
CNGUCGGGGUGNUUNAAUAGAGAAAGGGUGAGUAACACGUGGGCAAUCUGCCCUUCACUCUGGGACAAGCCCUGGAAACGGGGUCUAAUACCGGAUACGACACACGACCGCAUGGUCUGUGUGUGGAAAGCUCCGGCGGUGAAGGAUGAGCCCGCGGCCUAUCAGCUUGUUGGUGGGGUGAUGGCCUACCAAGGCGACGACGGGUAGCCGGCCUGAGAGGGCGACCGGCCACACUGGGACUGAGACACGGCCCAGACUCCUACGGGAGGCAGCAGUGGGGAAUAUUGCACAAUGGGCGAAAGCCUGAUGCAGCGACGCCGCGUGAGGGAUGACGGCCUUCGGGUUGUAAACCUCUUUCAGCAGGGAAGAAGCGAAAGUGACGGUACCUGCAGAAGAAGCGCCGGCUAACUACGUGCCAGCAGCCGCGGUAAUACGUACGGCGCAAGCGUUGUCCGGAAUUAUUGGGCGUAAAGAGCUCGUAGGCGGCUUGUCACGUCGGAUGUGAAAGCCCGGGGCUUAACCCCGGAUCUGCAUUCGAUACGGGCAGGCUAGAGUUCGGUAGGGGACAUCGGAAUUCCUGGUGUAGCGGUGAAAUGCCCAGAUAUCANGANNNACCNCNGGGGCGAAGGCGGAUCUCUGGGNCNNUACUGCCUGAGNANCNAAAGCCGGGGGAGGCGAACAG